GGCGACGAUGUCUAGGGGCUCUGAGAGGAGAAUCCCCCACACUGGUACUGAGACACGGACCAGACUCCUACGGGAGGCAGCAGUAAGGAAUAUUGGUCAAUGGGCGGAAGCCUGAACCAGCCAUGCCGCGUGCAGGAUGACUGCCCUAUGGGUUGUAAACUGCUUUUGUCCAGGAAUAAACCUAGAUACGUGUAUCUAGCUGAAUGUACUGGAAGAAUAAGGAUCGGCUAACUCCGUGCCAGCAGCCGCGGUAAUACGGAGGAUCCGAGCGUUAUCCGGAUUUAUUGGGUUUAAAGGGUGCGUAGGCGGCCUAUUAAGUCAGGGGUGAAAUACGGUGGCUCAACCAUCGCAGUGCCUUUGAUACUGAUGGGCUUGAAUCCAUUUGAAGUGGGCGGAAUAAGACAAGUAGCGGUGAAAUGCAUAGAUAUGUCUUAGAACUCCGAUUGCGAAGGCAGCUCACUAAGCUGGUAUUGACGCUGAUGCACGAAAGCGUGGGGAUCGAACAGGAUUAGAUACCCUGGUAGUCCACGCCCUAAACGAUGAUAACUCGAUGUUGGCGAUAGACAGCCAGCGUCCAAGCGAAAGCGUUAAGUUAUCCACCUGGGGAGUACGCCCGCAAGGGUGAAACUCAAAGGAAUUGACGGGGGCCCGCACAAGCGGAGGAGCAUGUGGUUUAAUUCGAUGAUACGCGAGGAACCUUACCCGGGCUUGAAAG
rnacentral:rRNA from 1 species